rnacentral:rRNA from 1 species
UACGUAGGGGGCAAGCGUUGUCCGGAUUUAUUGGGCGUAAAGAGCGUGUAGGCGGCUUUACAGGUCCGUUGUGAAAACUCGAGGCUCAACCUCGAGACGCCGGUGGAAACCGUAAAGCUAGAGUCCGGAAGAGGAGAGUGGAAUUCCUGGUGUAGCGGUGAAAUGCGCAGAUAUCAGGAGGAACACCGAUGGCGAAGGCAGGUCACUGGGCCGCAACUGACGCUGAGGAGCGAAAGCAUGGGGAGCGAACAGG